GAAGAAAAAGCAGUCCCUUUUUAUCACAAUGUGACUACAGAAAAACUUUCAAAAGCUGCAAAACCAGGAACUGCUGUCCGCUACUAUCAAUGUGUCUUUGUAAAUGGAUUUAAUGGUUACACACCUCGAUAUUCUGUUACUCAAGAAAAACCUGCUGAUUCCAAGUUGAAGGCGCGGAAACAAUAAUGUCCUGCAACCUGUGACAUUGCAACAAUUUUGCACUUUGCACCUACUUCAGGGGGUCACCUGGAAGUCCACUUAGCAC
rnacentral:lncRNA from 1 species